UCUGGGUGACAGUCUGCAUCCCAUCCUCAAACGUGCCUUCUUUGAUCAAACUUAUGGUUGUUCAUGGGAUGCGGGAACAAGAAGUGUCUACUUCUCCAUUGUCUAAUGAUUGAUGAGGCACCUGCUCUGUGCGUGGUUCAGUGUCAGAGGCUGGAGAUGGAGACAUGAAGGAUGCUCCUGAUCAGGGUUCUGGAAGCUGAAAGUCUGAGUUAAAGGUGCUGCCAGAUUCUGUAUUACAGGGGCAAAGGGAAAGCUCCUCCUUCAGCCUCUGUAGAUCCUCUGGGAUGGACUGACUAUUGGCGGAUUCAUAGGAUAAGAAGACACUUCCUCAGCCUGCACUCCUCCACACUUGGAAACCACCCCAGAGGAAUAAUGAGAGCAAAGACCCAGGAUUUGGCAAAUGUACAGAAUGCCAGGAGAAUCAUGGAUUUGUCUGACUCCUGAGACUUGGCCUCAUCCGGUGGAAAACUGGGGAAAUUCCCUGCUGGCUCCUCCCUUCCCUCCCUCCCAGCCCUCUCACCAAGCACCACCAAACAGACACACCUCCAGAAGAAGGUUAAGUAAGGCCAGUCUCUGGAUUCCUCUGAAACAAAGUGUUACUUAAAUAUACAGAUUCAGAAAUAAAGUUUAAAUGAGGUAACA